GAUCCUUUUUUGCACUUGACUGGCCCUUCUCGUGCAAUUGUGUCUGACGAACCUGUUGACUUUGAAGUCGAACUAAAGAUAAAUUGUGGAACAGAUCAGUCCCAAGAUAAAGCAUUGAUCAGUUCUACUAACCACUACACUUCUAGAGGUGAUGCUGCUUUUUUCUUUGGCCGCUCUUGUUCGGCAAACUUGAGCCUUGAGACACUUCAUAGAGCGGUCCAGGCAACUAUAUUGUCUAUUCGUGUGGUUGGAGGAGUGCCUCUUUUUGAAUUUGGAGGCCGAGUUGAUUGCUCCUCAUCUACUGAAGAGUCUGCUGAUCCCACUUGUAAGCAAGUUGUUUUGCUUGAUUCUGUUGAAAAAAUACCCGAAGAUGGACUGGAUGGUUACCUUCCCCUGUUAAGGAACGUUGUUUCGGUACAAUUAGAAGGAGGAUUGAAAGUUGGCAUACAAGCCUACGGGGGAUCUAGUCAUCCAUCCGGAUCUGGCCUUGUUUACUUCCCUGCACAGUAUUGCAAUGUAAAUCAGCGUACAUGUUUGGUUUGUGGCUCUCAGGUGGAGGUCACUGUUGCUUGGUCCUGGCUUGUCAAGGACAAGAUGAAUAUCUUGUCUAGGUAA
rnacentral:rRNA from 1 species